rnacentral:tRNA from 1 species
GCCCGGAUGGUCUAGUGGUAUGUUCUCAUAUAUUACGCCACUUUAAUUUUCCCACUAACAAUUUAACCAGGUAUGAUUCUCGCUUUGGGUGCGAGAGGUCGCGCGUUCGACUCGCGCUUCGGGCC